CUAUUUUAUUAUUUGCCAGCUGGGAUGGAUUCCAUUAAUCAUUUAUAUUUGUAGUUCAAUUGCACAGCAUCUUGUCUGAGAAGAGCAUCAAUUCAAGAAAAUGAACUUUGAAGAUGAAGAUUUUGAUUUUGCUGAGGGUUUCCUGGACGAGGUCCUGCCUCCAAGUCGGAUGCCAUCUCACCCCUCCC
rnacentral:lncRNA from 1 species